rnacentral:ncRNA from 1 species
GUGUUGUAUGAAAGGAGAGGUUAGCAUUCCCUUGACAAGGAUGGAAAAGGCCAGUGGGCCAGACAAUAGGCAUAAGGUUAAGGCAUUGCCACCUACCUCUGUGGCAUCUGUCAUUUUUU